GUCAUCAGUUUCAAGCUGCCACCUUAGAAGAGACCAGGGGGCCCCCAGCAGGAUAUUCAUGUGUUUUGGGACCCGCUCUAGCCCCACAGGUCUGAAGGGCCCCAGCUUCCCAAGGCCAACUGGCGAGACCAGCUAGAAGAACCUUGAAGGGUACAGCAAUAUUUCACCUUCCCAACAGUUGGGAAAGUUUGGAGGAUAGACACUAAGUGGUUGCGCACGACUGUGCCUGGGAAAUCCGGGGACAUCUCACAAGAGCCAAUAGAAGGUAGCCAGGCGGAGACGGAAGUGUUUUCACGACUGAGCCAUGAAAGUCACAGACCGUCACUUCCACCGCGG